UAGGGAAUAUUGGUAAUGUGCGAAAGCGCGAACCAGCAACGCCGCGUGUGCGAUGACGGCCUUCGGGUUGUAAAGCACUUUUUGAGGGGAUGAGGAAGGACAGUACCCUCAGAAUAAGUCUCGGCUAACUACGUGCCAGCAGCCGCGGUAACACGUAGGAGGCAAACGUUAUCCGGAUUUACUGGGCGUAAAGCGCGUGUAGGUGGUUUGGUAAGUAGAGCGUGAAAGCUCCUGGCUCAACUGGGAGAGGUCGUUCUAAACUGCCGGACUAGAGGAUGGUAGAGGGAGGUGGAAUUCCGGGUGUAGCGGUGGAAUGCGCAGAUAUCCGGAGGAACACCAGUGGCGAAAGCGGCCUCCUGGACCACUCCUGACACUCAGACGCGAAAGCUAGGGUAGCAAACG
rnacentral:rRNA from 1 species